CAGGAGCCUUUUCACAGAGGUGGAGCUGGUGAAACGCCUUCCUCAGUCCACUCCCAGCUCAUCCUCUCCAGGGCCACCCAAGCGUCAUGACAAGGCCACUGCACUUGCAAGGACGGUCUUCAGCCUUGUUUGCCAUCCGGCAGGUACCCUUGCAUCCCUGUGGAGAUACCUGCUGAUCGUGUGUAUCUUCACUGUGCAAAAGAUGGCCGUGCACAAGAAGAGGUUCUUGAGAUUCAUUGUCUUCUUGCUUCCAGUGGUUCUUGGUGAGUCUGUGUGAGCAACCAUUUGAGAGUAACAGCCUGGUUGUGCUGGGUGCCAGCUUUUCUUUUUGGCCCAUAUGUGUGGAAACUCGCAUGGUCCAAGUGCUUCUGGUGUGCAUCCUUGACAAUGACUUGCUUUUUAGCUACCAGUAAGACUGGUAGCUUCCCAGCCAUGCUGCUGCACUGGCCACAGGACCAAAGGGCUUGCUUAGUCUGCAAGCCUGCGAGAGAAGGGAGCAUGUAUUUCCAAGCCUGAACUGGGGGAUACCCAGAGGGGCUGUGCAGGGUGACUGAUGCCCCUCCUGAUACCUCUCCUGGCUGAUGCAGCCUGGUCUCAGGGCUCACAGAAGCAGUAAGGGGAAAUGGGAAAGAGCUCUGGGUCACCGAGCACACCUGAAGCUCAUGGCUACACAAUGCCCUGAAGCCUGUGGUGAUGGUUUCCAGUCAGAGGCACGUCCUGUCUCUGCACCCUGUGUUCCCCACCUCCUCAGCUUAGCUGCUGCCCCAUCCACAAGGCAACCAGGAGGAGACCACGGUGCUUCAGGGACCACUAGCAACCCAGGUCAAGUGACUGUCUCUUGGUGAUGUGAAUUGCAGCUGGUGUUUACUGUGGGACCUCACUGCCAGCGUGGACAAUGCAGGCAAAGGCACAGAGAGAGGUUGGUGGACCCUCUGGGACAGGCAGCUCCUGCAAGGGAGCAUUGCUGACAGUGGCUGGCUAAAUCGUGGGCUUUUCUGUGUCCACACAGAGUGAGCCAAAGAAGCAGUGGCU